UUGGAGGGCAAGUCUGGUGCCAGCAGCCGCGGUAAUUCCAGCUCCAAUAGCGUAUAUUAAAGUUGUUGCAGUUAAAAAGCUCGUAGUUGAAUUUCGGGGUCAGUAGGUUGGUCAUGCCACUGGUAUGUACUGGUCUCACUGAUUCCUCCUUCCUGAUGAGCCGUAAUGCCAUUAAUUUGGUGUUGCGGGGAAUCUGGACUGUUACUUUGAAAAAAUUAGAGUGUUUAAAGCAGGCUAACGCCUGAAUACAUUAGCAUGGAGUAAUGAAAUAGGACGUUUGAUUCUAUUUUGUUGGUUUCUAGGAUCGACGUAAUGAUUAAUAGGGAUAGUUGGGGGCAUUAGUAUUCAAUUGUCAGAGGUGAAAUUCUUGGAUUUAUUGAAGACUAACUACUGCGAAAGCAUUUGCCAAGGAUGUUUUCAUUAAUCAAGAACGAAAGUUAGGGGAUCGAAGACGAUCAGAUACCGUCGUAGUCUUAACCAUAAACUAUGCCGACUAGGGAUCGGAUGAUGUUAAUUUUUUAAUGACUCAUUCGGCGCCUUACGGGAAAC
rnacentral:rRNA from 1 species